rfam:Columba livia unplaced genomic scaffold scaffold698, whole genome shotgun sequence.
UUAUAGGCUGUUUUCACAGCUAUACAACAGCAUUAUUUUAUUUAUCU